CUCGAAAUACCCGGAUGCAGUUAUCAUGGCUGCUAUCAGUGAGACUCCGCAGUGGAGAUCGAGGCUAGAGUUGCUCAGACAGCUCUCAGGCUUUGGGGCUUCAGGGAGAUCUGUCAAAAGACAAAGGAUGAGAGAGCUGGGCGGCAGGGUGUCCCACGUGGUUUUAGAAUCUGCGCCUCCGCGAUUCCUGUUAACUUGCCGCCAAGUUUUUCUAGAGGAGACGCUCCUCUUGGCAGGGAGGGGCGUCCCUUACGUGCCGGGUUUUUGUUCCGGUCACUCUGCGCUGCCCAGGAGUCCAGUGGUCAGUGCGAUGGCUGGUCCGGGAAGAAAGGGUUGACCGGAGGCUAGAACCGAGAGAUGCGGAGCCGCGCUGGGGACUCCGAGGCGUCCAGGCUGGGGGAGCCAGACUGAAUGUAAUCCCGGCUACCGCCCCCACUCAAGUCCGGUCCCUAGAGGCCGCGAUGCUCUUCACGGAGGGGGCGCUCAGAGUAGGCUGUUGGCCUCUUCACUGCCGACCCAACUUCACCCCACAGUAGACUUUGAUCCUUGACAAAUCUAGGAUAUGCAUAUUGCAGGUGUCCUAUAGGUUUUGCCAUCGGGUGGAACAGGAACAAAUGUAGGUCUACUGGGUUCUUGGCACAGUACCAUAUGGACCUGGACAAAGCAUUUUUAAGAUCACUAAUCAGAGUCCCAACCUUUAUCCUGGAAUUGCACAAUUAGCUCAAAGAACCCAGGAUGGCGAUACUGCAGUGAGGUCUGAUGAGUCUGAUGGAGAUACUGAGGUUGCUGAAAG